UACAGAGGGGGCAAGCGUUGUUCGGAAUUACUGGGUGUAAAGGGCGCGUAGGCGGCCUGCUAAGUCGAACGUGAAAUCCCCGGGCUCAACCCGGGAACUGCGUCCGAUACUGGUGGGCUUGAAUCCGGGAGAGGGAUGCGGAAUUCCAGGUGUAGCGGUGAAAUGCGUAGAUAUCUGGAGGAACACCGGUGGCGAAGGCGGCAUCCUGGAUCGGUAUUGACGCUGAGGCGCGAAAGCCAGUGGAGCAAACGGG
rnacentral:rRNA from 1 species